rnacentral:rRNA from 1 species
GUCGAGCGACAGACGAGGAGCUUGCUCCUCUGACGUUAGCGGCGGACGGGUGAGUAACACGUGGAUAACCUACCUAUAAGACUGGGAUAACUUCGGGAAACCGGAGCUAAUACCGGAUAAUAUAUUGAACCGCAUGGUUCAAUAGUGAAAGACGGUUUUGCUGUCACUUAUAGAUGGAUCCGCGCCGCAUUAGCUAGUUGGUAAGGUAACGGCUUACCAAGGCAACGAUGCGUAGCCGACCUGAGAGGGUGAUCGGCCACACUGGAACUGAGACACGGUCCAGACUCCUACGGGAGGCAGCAGUAGGGAAUCUUCCGCAAUGGGCGAAAGCCUGACGGAGCAACGCCGCGUGAGUGAUGAAGGUCUUCGGAUCGUAAAACUCUGUUAUUAGGGAAGAACAAAUGUGUAAGUAACUAUGCACGUCUUGACGGUACCUAAUCAGAAAGCCACGGCUAACUACGUGCCAGCAGCCGCGGUAAUACGUAGGUGGCAAGCGUUAUCCGGAAUUAUUGGGCGUAAAGCGCGCGUAGGCGGUUUUUUAAGUCUGAUGUGAAAGCCCACGGCUCAACCGUGGAGGGUCAUUGGAAACUGGAAAACUUGAGUGCAGAAGAGGAAAGUGGAAUUCCAUGUGUAGCGGUGAAAUGCGCAGAGAUAUGGAGGAACACCAGUGGCGAAGGCGACUUUCUGGUCUGUAACUGACGCUGAUGUGCGAAAGCGUGGGGAUCAAACAGGAUUAGAUACCCUGGUAGUCCACGCCGUAAACGAUGAGUGCUAAGUGUUAGGGGGUUUCCGCCCCUUAGUGCUGCAGCUAACGCAUUAAGCACUCCGCCUGGGGAGUACGACCGCAAGGUUGAAACUCAAAGGAAUUGACGGGGACCCGCACAAGCGGUGGAGCAUGUGGUUUAAUUCGAAGCAACGCGAAGAACCUUACCAAAUCUUGACAUCCUCUGACUCCUCUAGAGAUAGAGUUUUCCCCUUCGGGGGACAGAGUGACAGGUGGUGCAUGGUUGUCGUCAGCUCGUGUCGUGAGAUGUUGGGUUAAGUCCCGCAACGAGCGCAACCCUUAAGCUUAGUUGCCAUCAUUAAGUUGGGCACUCUAAGUUGACUGCCGGUGACAAACCGGAGGAAGGUGGGGAUGACGUCAAAUCAUCAUGCCCCUUAUGAUUUGGGCUACACACGUGCUACAAUGGACAAUACAAAGGGCAGCGAAACCGCGAGGUCAAGCAAAUCCCAUAAAGUUGUUCUCAGUUCGGAUUGUAGUCUGCAACUCGACUAUAUGAAGCUGGAAUCGCUAGUAAUCGUAGAUCAGCAUGCUACGGUGAAUACGUUCCCGGGU